CAGGCCUAACACAUGCAAGUCGAACGGUAGCACAGAGAGCUUGCUCUCGGGUGACGAGUGGCGGACGGGUGAGUAACGUCUGGGAAACUGCCCGAUGGAGGGGGAUAACUACUGGAAACGACUGUUAAUACCGCAUAAUGUCUACGGACCAAAGUGUGGGACCUUCGGGCCACAUGCUAUCGGAUGCGCCUACGUGGGAUUAGCUAGUUGGUGAGGUAAUGGCUCACCAAGGCGACGAUCUCUAGCUGGUUUGAGAGGAUGAUCAGCCACACUGGAACUGAGACACGGUCCAGACUCCUACGGGAGGCAGCAGUGGGGAAUAUUGGACAAUGGGCGCAAGCCUGAUCCAGCCAUGCCGCGUGUGUGAAGAAGGCCUUCGGGUUGUAAAGCACUUUCAGCGAGGAGGAAGGGGUUGUAGUUAAUAGCUGCAACCUUUGACGUUACUCGCAGAAGAAGCACCGGCUAACUCUGUGCCAGCCGCCGCGGUAA
rnacentral:rRNA from 1 species